GAUGAACGCUGGCGGCGUGCCUAAUACAUGCAAGUCGAGCGAACAGACGAGGAGCUUGCUCCUCUGAUGUUAGCGGCGGACGGGUGAGUAACACGUGGAUAACCUACCUAUAAGACUGGGAUAACGUCGGGAAACCGGAGCUAAUACCGGAUAACAUGUUGAACCGCAUGGUUCAACAGUGAAAGACGGUCUUGCUGUCACUUAUAGAUGGAUCCGCGCCGCAUUAGCUAGUUGGUAAGGUAACGGCUUACCAAGGCAACGAUGCGUAGCCGACCUGAGAGGGUGAUCGGCCACACUGGAACUGAGACACGGUCCAGACUCCUACGGGAGGCAGCAGUAGGGAAUCUUCCGCAAUGGGCGAAAGCCUGACGGAGCAACGCCGCGUGAGUGAAGAAGGUCUUCGGAUCGUAAAACUCUGUUAUUAGGGAAGAACAAAUGUGUAAGUAACUAUGCACGUCUUGACGGUACCUAAUCAGAAAGCCACGGCUAACUACGUG
rnacentral:rRNA from 1 species